rnacentral:misc_RNA from 1 species
CUUUCUCUCUCUUAGUUAAUUUGUCUCAAAGGUCAGUUUCAGUUAUCGUUCUUUCUCGGGUUAGUCGAAUUGUUUUCCUUCGGCUUCCCUUGCCUUCAGGCAGGAAAGAUCUCAUCCUUAUUUUGCUUCUCUCGCCUGGCAUGUGGGAUGGCCCUCCCACAGUUGGGUUUGAGUGUAUAUGAGUUUUUUGGGUUAUGCCUAGUUUGGAUAUAUUUGCAGGUCUAUUGGUCAUGGAGCGGACAUCUUUUGAAGAUCUGGUGAUGGGUUUGUUCCUGCAUGUGCUUAUUUGUUCAUCAGUAGGGUGUGGUAUUCUGGAGGCAGCUUAGUUGUUUGGGUUGAUGGGCAACUCUUGGGUCAUCAUUCUUCUUAUGGCUGUCACCCUACCAUAGGAUAUAAAAGAGUGAGAUGCCAUGAGCUCCGCCCUUCAUCUCCUCCUAUGACUGGCGUUGAAGAUGGCAAGGCGAUGUUUGUAAGGCUUUGUGAUCCAACGGUUGGCUGGGGUAGCGGUAGAAGGAGCUUUGUAAUCUUGAAGUUUGUUGUUAGAGUGGUUAUUUCUUCCCUUUUCACUGUCACCAGCUUAGCUUUGGAUCAAGUAGGCAGGCAGCGUUGCAAGAAGGUUAGGCAGAUUGUGUCUUCCAACUGUCAGGGUUGAUUUUAAUUUGCUGGGUUUGAGUUCUAUGUAAUGAUUUGAAUUUGGGUCUCAAAGGCCUUUAUAUGAAGUUUAAU